CAGGGGUAGAGUGGAGGCAGAGGACAGAUCUCCAGGGAAAGGUCAGCCUUGAGAGACAGAUGUGAGAGUCAUGGACACACAGGAUGAGACGAACCAGCUAGGGAUAUGGCUUCGGAAAGAAAGAGUACCAAGGCCAGAAGUCUGAAGAAUUCCAUCUAAGAGCUAAGUCAUCGGAGAGAAGAAUAGCAAAAAUUAGCGGUCAAGGGAAGCAGUUCAGGGAGGGGUGAUCGACAGAACCCAGCAGCACUGAGGCAUGGUGCAAGAUUCCCUAGAUUCUUGUCUUAACGGUCUUCUAUGAAUUCUCCAACCAAACUGACCGGCCAUUGUCCUCCAGAAACUCAACCAGGCGGUCCUGCCUCGAUGCCGUGUCUCAUGGGAGCCCCUCCCUGAAGGGUCUUCUCAACUAGUGCCUCCGUCCGUGACCUUCCUCCUCACAGGAAGAUACGUGUCUAAUCUAAGCUUCUUGGGGAGAUAUCUGUACCGGAUUCCUCAUGGCCGAGGAGCUUAACCUCCUUCGUUUCAGACAUUGCACCCAAAACUGCAAGAAUCCCUAAGUGCACAGCAUCUUGCUUUAUGUGGCAUUUCCGCGGACAUCUAUAAAAAUCAAAUUCAAAGUUUAAUUUCCAUCUUUGGGACCAACAUCUGGAGGGAAACUGGAAAGGAAACGUCCUGCUCAUUCCAAAGAGCCAGAUGUGUGCCAUCACGCAGAAGGAAUGUCCAGAUGCCGGACGUCUCCACUGUAUUCCUCCAAGCGAGCCUUUCCUGUAGUCUUUUGGAAAGUCAGAUGAAGAACUUCUUUUUUUUUUUUUUUGGUUUUUUUUUUUAACGUUUAUUUAUUUUUGAGAAAGACAGACAGACAGUGA